GCAUAUCAAUAAGCGGAGGAAAAGAAACCAACAGGGAUUGCCCCAGUAACGGCGAAGUGAAGCGGCAAGAAGCUCAAAUUUGAAAGCUGGCCCCCUCGGGGUCCGCAUUGUAAUUUGCAGAGGAUGCUUCGGGAGCGGUCCCCAUCUAAGUGCCCUGGAACGGGCCGUCAUAGAGGGUGAGAAUCCCGUAUGGGAUGGGGUGCCCGCGCCCGUGUGAAGCUCCUUCGACGAGUCGAGUUGUUUGGGAAUGCAGCUCUAAAUGGGUGGUAAAUUUCAUCUAAAGCUAAAUAUUGGCCGGAGACCGAUAGCGCACAAGUAGAGUGAUCGAAAGAUGAAAAGCACUUUGAAAAGAGAGUUAAACAGCACGUGAAAUUGUUGAAAGGGAAGCGCUUGCGACCAGACUCGCCCGCGGGGUUCAGCCGGCAUUCGUGCCGGUGUACUUCUCCGCGGGCGGGCCAGCGUCGGUUUGGGCGGCCGGUCAAAGGCCCCUGGAAUGUAACGCCUCUCGGGGCGUCUUAUAGCCAGGGGUGCCAUGCGGCCUGCCCGGACCGAGGAACGCGCUUCGGCUCGGACGCUGGCAUAAUGGUCGUAAGCGACCCGUCUUGAAACACGGACCAAGGAGUCUAACAUCUACGCGAGUGUUCGGGUGUCAAACCCGUGCGCGCAGUGAAAGCGAACGGAGGUGGGAACCCUUUGGGUGCACCAUCGACCGAUCCUGAUGUCUUCGGAUGGAUUUGAGUAAGAGCGUAGCUGUUGGGACCCGAAAGAUGGUGAACUAUGCCUGAAUAGGGCGAAGCCAGAGGAAACUCUGGUGGAGGCUCGCAGCGGUUUCUGACGUGCAAAUCGAUCGUCAAAUUUGGGUAUAGGGGGCGAAAGACUAAUCGAACCAUCUAGUAGCUGGUUCUGCGA
rnacentral:rRNA from 1 species